AUGUCAAAGGUUCUUUGGUUGGUCAUUUUCCUCUCAAUCAAAACGAGCCCUAAACUCCCACCCUUCCAAAUACUGAGCAGCCAGUGGUGGAUUUCUCCUUUACACUCACACCAGUGAGAAGACAUGAGUCAACACCACAGACCUGGCAGGAUCUCACAUGACAUCCUAAAUCUGUAGUAAAGACAGCUGUCGGGUCAGGCUGUGGAAGACAUGAAGAAGAGGAGGAGGGCUGUGGUUUUCAGGCCUUACAAAUAAAAGACAAAAUCUGUCCAUUA
rnacentral:lncRNA from 1 species